rnacentral:rRNA from 1 species
GACAGAGGGUGCAAACGUUGUUCGGAAUUACUGGGCGUAAAGCGAGUGUAGGCGGUCCGCUAAGUCGAGUGUGAAAGCCCUGGGCUCAACCCAGGAAGUGCACUCGAAACUGGCGGGCUAGAGUAUCGGAGAGGUUGGUGGAAUUCUCGGCGUAGAGGUGAAAUUCGUAGAUAUCGAGAGGAACACCGGUGGCGAAGGCGGCCAACUGGACGAAUACUGACGCUGAGACUCGAAAGCGUGGGGAGCAAACAGG